rnacentral:rRNA from 2 species
UACGUAGGUGGCAAGCGUUGUCCGGAAUUACUGGGCGUAAAGCGCGCGUAGACGGCUUAAAAAGUCAGAUGUGAAAGACCCGGGCUCAACCCGGGGGUUGCAUCUGAGACUGCUAGGCUUGAGUGCAGGAGAGGCAAGUGGAAUUCCCAGUGUAGCAGUGAAAUGCGUAGAUAUUGGGAGGAACACCAGUGGCGAAGGCGACUUGCUGGACUGUAACUGACGUUGAGGUGCGAAAGCUAGGGGAGCAAACGGG